ensembl:lncRNA
UUGUGACAUGAGAUACCUUUAAUAACCCAGAAGAAGAGAUUCUUGCUGAACAAAUACAAACGAUCUUAAAUACUCAGAUAUAUUUAUAGUGUUGGAAAAACAAUAAAUAACCAAAAAGCAUCAAACAUUUCCUAAAUGCAAUUACUGAAUCUUCCAACAGCUGUUUACAUUAUUUACUUCAUAAACAAAAAUAUAUUAUACAAUUGCAACCUGCAGAAAAACCUGUUUUGUUGUGGUUGCUGUAGCUUUCUGUAUCAAGCAAUCAAUCAUCUGCUGGACAAAGAAAAAUUUAAAAUAUAAUAUAGAAUUACCAAUUAUCAUUGAAGGUGUACCAAUUGAUAAUGUGAGUGAAAACAAAUUUUUGGGAGUCGUAAUUGAUAACAAAAUUUCAUGGAAACUCCACGUCAGACACAUAAAAACCAAAAUUUCCAGAAGCCUCGCAGUUUUGAACAAAGUGAAACCAUACCUUGAUAAAGAUGCACUUCGUACUCUGUACUGUACCCUGGUUCUUCCAUAUCUUACAUAUUGUGUGGAAGUGUGGGGAAAUACAUAUAAAAAUACAACUAAUCCAUUAGUCACAGUACAGAAACGAGCACUGCGUAUUAUUCACAAGGCUGGUUAUCUAGAUCAUACUCACAAAUUCUUUCUUCAGGCAAAGUGACUUAAAUUCCAGGAUCUGGUUAAUUACAAUAAAUCCAUAAUUUUGUAUAACGCUUUUACUAAACUUCUACCGGCAAAUUUACAAACUAGAUUUGAAAUUCGAGAAAAGGUUUAUAAUGUGAGAGGCUUUGGAGAAUUCAAAUUACCUUGAACUCGAACAACCCGUAAAGGUUUUUGUGUGUCUGUAUGUUGUGUGAAAAUCUGGAACAGUCUGAGUUUACAAUUGAAACAAUGCAAAAAUAUUCAUAGAUUUAAAUUCCUCUACAAACAGUUGGUCUGGUCACAGUAUACUCAAUGAUGGUUUUUAGUGUGCUCUGUAAUGUCUGUUCUCUUACCAUUGCUGGUAUGGAUUCCAAGAGAAAAAAUAAAUAAAUAAAUAAA